rnacentral:ncRNA from 1 species
CAAUCUGGAAAGAAUGUUCAGUCGUUCACCGAAGGGGAAAGGCAAAAGCCGAAGCUCUCAGGUAGUAAGACAGAGGGGGA